UACGUAGGGUGCGAGCGUUGUCCGGAUUUAUUGGGCGUAAAGGGCUCGUAGGCGGCGUGUCGCGUCGGGAGUGGAAGACCGGGGCUUAACCCCGGUUCUGCUUCCGGUACGGGCAUGCUGGAGUGUGGCAGGGGAGACUGGAAUUCCUGGUGUAGCGGUGGAAUGCGCAGAUAUCAGGAGGAACACCGGUGGCGAAGGCGGGUCUCUGGGCCAUUACUGACGCUGAGGAGCGAAAGCGUGGGGAGCGAACAGG
rnacentral:rRNA from 1 species